rnacentral:rRNA from 1 species
UACGUAGGGUGCGAGCGUUAAUCGGAAUUACUGGGCGUAAAGCGUGCGCAGGCGGUUCGUUGUGUCUGAUGUGAAAGCCCCGGGCUCAACCUGGGAAUGGCAAUGGAAACUGGCGGGCUGGAGUAUGGCAGAGGGGGGUGGAAUUCCGCGUGUAGCAGUGAAAUGCGUAGAGAUGCGGAGGAACACCGAUGGCGAAGGCAGCCCCCUGGGCCAAUACUGACGCUCAGGCACGAAAGCGUGGGGAGCAAACAGG